UUUCCUACGGGAGGCAGCAGUGGGGAAUAUUACACAAUGGGGGAAACCCUGAUGCAGCGACGCCGCGUGAGUGAAGAAGUAUUUCGGUAUGUAAAGCUCUAUCAGCAGGGAAGAAAAAAGACGGUACCUGACUAAGAAGCCCCGGCUAACUACGUGCCAGCAGCCGCGGUAAUACGUAGGGGGCAAGCGUUAUCCGGAUUUACUGGGUGUAAAGGGAGCGUAGACGGUUAAGUAAGUCUGGAGUGAAAGGCCGGGGCUCAACCCCGGGACUGCUCUGGAAACUAUUUAACUUGAGUGCAGGAGAG
rnacentral:rRNA from 1 species